rnacentral:rRNA from 1 species
CGAGCGUUGUCCGGAUUUAUUGGGCGUAAAGCGUGCGUAGGCGGUUCGUUAAGUCAGCUGUGAAAGCCCCGGGCUCAACCUGGGAACUGCGGUUGAAACUGGCGAACUAGAAUCUGGCAGAGGGGGGUGGAAUUCCACGUGUAGCAGUGAAAUGCGUAGAGAUGUGGAGGAACACCGAUGGCGAAGGCAGCCCCCUGGGCUGAGAUUGACGCUCAGGCACGAAAGCGUGGGGAGCAAACAGG